AACGUAGGAGACAAACGUUAUCCGGAGUUACUGGGCGUAAAGGGCGUGUAGGUGGUUUCGUAAGUCUGGCGUGAAAUUUUUCGGCUUAACCGGGAAAGGUCGUCGGAUACUGCGGAGCUAGAGGACGGUAGAGGCGUGUGGAAUUCCGGGUGUAGUGGUGAAAUGCGUAGAGAUCCGGAGGAACACCAGUGGCGAAGGCGGCCCGCUGGGCAGUGGCUGACGCUGAAGCGCGACAGCGUGGGGAGCAAACAGG
rnacentral:rRNA from 1 species